CUAACAGACUGAAAAUGACUUAAAGUUGGGUUAAUGACUUAGUUUAGCUUACUUUAUACAUUCAAUACUCCAAACAAAAAUCCCUAUUUGUUGCGUUCAAUGUAGCACGGGUGAUUGACGGGUGAUCACCUUCCGGAAAUUACCCGAAAAUGGAGCAUUAGUUGUUUGGCGUGGGUAGUGGAGGUAAUGUGGGUAAUGAGAAAAGUAGAAAAGUCUGGAUUAUGAUCUUCUGGCUAGAAGAAAGAACAUAAGCAUCUUGACUUGUGAAAUCUCAUAACAAACACACAGUUCUGGGUGUCUCUCUGUGUCCUGAUGUGAGGCUGUAGCUCAGAAUGAGUUGAUCAAGCUCACCAUUAGACAACAUGACAUGGUGUGUAGAAGCUCACUCCUUAACAUCAUGAUCAUCCAGAGCUCCAGACUCACAUCAUCAUCAUCAUCAAUGACACAGAGGAAGAUUCAGUCAAGAUUUACUAAAUGCUGCAAAGUCAUUGUCUAAAUGUGAACAAACAUG